UCCCUAGUGGUCCAGUGGUUAAGACUCUGUGAUCCCAAUGCAGGGUCCCAGGUUCGAUCCCUGGUUAGGGAA
rfam:TPA: Bos taurus chromosome 1, whole genome shotgun sequence.